CCCGGCUCUUGAUGACGGUGGCUCACCAGAGCCCGACCGCUUUCAACGGCUUGAUUUGGCCUGCAUGGACCUCAGCUCCCUCCCAG
rnacentral:SRP_RNA from 1 species